rnacentral:rRNA from 1 species
GAUGAACGCUGGCGGCGUGCCUAAUACAUGCAAGUCGAGCGAACAGACGAGGAGCUUGCUCCUCUGACGUUAGCGGCGGACGGGUGAGUAACACGUGGAUAACCUACCUAUAAGACUGGGAUAACUUCGAGAAACCGGAGCUAAUACCGGAUAAUAUAUUGAACCGCAUGGUUCAAUAGUGAAAGACGGUUUUGCUGUCACUUAUAGAUGGAUCCGCGCCGCAUUAGCUAGUUGGUAAGGUAACGGCUUACCAAGGCAACGAUGCGUAGCCGACCUGAGAGGGUGAUCGGCCACACUGGAACUGAGACACGGUCCAGACUCCUACGGGAGGCAGCAGUAGGGAAUCUUCCGCAAUAGGCGAAAGCUUGACGGAGCAACGCCGCGUGAGUGAUGAAGGUCUUCGGAUCGUAAAACUCUGUUAUUAGGGAAGAACAAAUGUGUAAGUAACUAUGCACGUCUUGACGGUACCUAAUCAGAAAGCCACGGCUAACUACGUG